GAAUAUUGCACAAUGGGGGCAACCCUGAUGCAGCGACGCCGCGUGGGUGAAGAAGGGUUUCGGCUCGUAAAGCCCUUUUCUGUGUGACGAAACAGGACGGUAGCACAGGAAGAAGUCUCGGCUAACUACGUGCCAGCAGCCGCGGUAAAACGUAGGAGGCAAGCGUUAUCCGGAGUUACUGGGCGUAAAGAGCGUGUAGGCGGUUGAGUAAGUUGCGUGUGAAAGCGCCCGGCUAAACUGGGCGAGGACAGGCAAGACUGCUGAGCUAGAGGCCGAUAGAGGGGUGCGGAAUUCCGGGUGUAGCGGUGAAAUGUGUAGAGAUCCGGAGGAACACCAGUGGUGCAGACGGCGCCCUGGAUCGGACCUGACGCUGAGACGCGAAAGCGUGGGGAGCGAACGGG
rnacentral:rRNA from 1 species